rnacentral:rRNA from 1 species
AUACAUAGGGGGCAAGCGUUAUCCGGAAUUAUUGGGCGUAAAGGGUGCGUAGGCGGUCUAUUAAGUCUGAGGUGUAAGUGCAGGGCUCAACCCUGUGAUGCUUUAGAAACUGGUAGACUUGAGUGAGAUAGAGGCAAGUGGAAUUCCAUGUGUAGCGGUAAAAUGCGUAAAUAUAUGGAGGAACACCAGUGGCGAAGGCGGCGUGCUGGGUCUAUACUGACGCUGAGGCACGAAAGCGUGGGGAGCAAACAGGAUUAGAUACCCUGGUAGUCCACGCCGUAAACGAUGAGUACUAAGUGUUGCGAGAACGCAGUGCUGAAGUUAACAUAUUAAGUACUCCGCCUGAGGAGUACGUACGCAAGUAUGAAACUCAAAUGAAUUGGCGGGG